GACUCCGUAGCUCAGUAGGUAGAGCUUCAGACUUUUAAUUUGAAGGUCCUGGGUUCGAGCCCCAGCGGAGCCA
rnacentral:tRNA from 1 species